ensembl:snRNA U6 U6 spliceosomal RNA
AGACUCAUCUUGGUAGUAUAAAUACUAAAACUGUAACAAUACAGAGUGGAGUCACAUGGCUCCUGCACAAAGUUAGCACACACAUUUGUGAAUCAUUUCAUGUUUAA